UACGAAGGGGCUAGCGUUGCUCGGAAUCACUGGGCGUAAAGGGUGCGUAGGCGGGUCUUUAAGUCAGGGGUGAAAUCCUGGAGCUCAACUCCAGAACUGCCUUGAUACUGAAGAUCUUGAGUUCGGGAGAGGUGAGUGGAACUGCGAGUGUAGAGGUGAAAUUCGUAGAUAUUCGCAAGAACACCAGUGGCGAAGGCGGACUCACUGGCCCGAGUACGUGAC
rnacentral:rRNA from 1 species